CUGGUAGAGACUAGAGGGUUCUUGCUUACGAAUACGUUGACAUUGGGCUGUAUGGAGGUGUUCUUUGUAGUUUUCUUAGAUGGGUAAGAGGCCCUUCAAAAAUCAAGUUUUGAAUUUCAUGUUGGGGAUUUCAAAAGUUUGUGGAGCAAACACCAGGUGGGAAAUGGCCGGAGAGUUUUGAUGCAGGGAUAUCUCCUGUUUUGUGAUAUUUUUGUUCUGUAGAUGCAUAACAGAAAAUGGAAAGUCAGAAGGGCAGAUUAGCAGAAAGCUGGACUUCUGGUGUCAUAUCAAUAAUACUUUAAAUUAUAAUGUUGAAGAUGGUUGCAGAAGGAGAUAAUAGAUCACACACAAAGAAAUGGAUGGUUGUAGAGUUAGUGUGGUAAUUACGAAAAAAUAAUUUUCCCCUGGAGGUAACAAUUCUUGUGACUGAUGGAUUGAGUCUGUAUCUUUACUGACUGAUGGAUCCCUUGUUUCUAGAUUGUUUAUGGAAGCAAAGAGGUAACAAUUCUUUGUUGCUUGCUAAGUUAUUUUCUUGAGGAAUAGUUUGAGUUUCAUUCACUCUGGUGGUAUAAUAUUGAGAGAUAAGAUUCUCAUUUUCCGAGUAGAUGUAAAAGUAUUUUGGGAGAAAACGACCAGAAUGUUUUUACAGUGAAU
rnacentral:lncRNA from 1 species